rnacentral:rRNA from 1 species
AAGUCUUGACAUCCCCCUGACGGGCAGGUAAUGCUGCCGUUCCUUCGGGACAGGGGAGACAGGUGGUGCAUGGUUGUCGUCAGCUCGUGUCGUGAGAUGUUGGGUUAAGUCCCGCAACGAGCGCAACCCCUAUCUUCAGUAGCCAGCACGCGAUGGUGGGCACUCUGGAGAGACUGCCAGGGAUAACCUGGAGGAAGGUGGGGAUGACGUCAAAUCAUCAUGCCCCUUAUGACUUGGGCUACACACGUGCUACAAUGGCGUAAACAAAGGGAAGCGAGCCUGCGAGGGGGAGCGAAUCCCAAAAAUAACGUCCCAGUUCGGACUGCAGUCUGCAACUCGACUGCACGAAGCUGGAAUCGCUAGUAAUCGCGAAUCAGUAUGUCGCGGUGAAUACGUUCCCGGGUC